UCAUGGAGCAUUGUGAUUGGCUCUGUUUAUAACCCUUGUUACCGUUAUUUGUUGUGUGGCUGCUCACAGGAACUUAAUGCAGUCUGGAGGCAUGGUGGAUGUCCAGGUUUUGCUAGUGCAUGUAGGGUGUCGUUUGUUGAGCGCAUGGAUAAUGGAGGUUGUUUAAGAUGAAAUUGAAGUCUUUAGAAGAUGGACGCCUCUCUCCUGUGGUCUAAACCGAGGUGUAGUAGGAUCUAUGCUACUGAACUGUCUAGUCACAGCCCCUUCAAGGUGUGACAUUUUGGUGUUGUCUGCAGGAUUUGGGCAGUCUGGAGAACUGGCUGCUCCCUCCCCCCUUGUGCAUACUUCCUGAGGUGGACUCUUAAAAUACUCAGGUGCUAUAUGGGUGGAUGCUGUGCUGGUGUGUGCAAACCAUGCUAUUUAGUAGCUGGAGAUGGUGGCACCAGAGGAGACUGCCCGGUUGACAGCCUCCUCGUAUCUGGCGGGACAACUGACGAGGUGUCCCACUCCUAGUGAGCGGUUGGGAUUCAGGAAGCAUGGCCAAGAUAGGACACCUUGCAGCUAAACGGACCUGCUGGUGCCAGUCAAGCCUGGUUUGGAGAGGAGCCUAUGGGUGGGGUCUACAGAUGUGGGCGAGCAACACAGUAUGGAGGCCUCCAUGGGCCCUAACCUUGAGGAGUAGCUUCAGUACACAGGUGAGGGAGUGAAGCACAACCAGUCAAACUAUUGAGCAUUCAAUAUGGAACUUAGGGACAACUAAAUGCUUGGAGGAAGUUGUUGUGCUAAGGGUGACAGAACUUGAGCCAUUUUUGGGGUGUGAACAUUUAUUUGCAUGUUUUUGAAUUGCUAGCAUUGCCUUUUCUAUUUACUCAAAAGUGUGGACAUCUUUUGUCUUAGUGGGUGAGAAUGUCACAGGAGUGAAAUGCCGUUAAUUACUUUGCAUGCUAUUGCCCUAAUUGAGUGUUCCUAACUGAUAGAUUCACGGAGCAAUGUGAUUGGCUCUGUUUAUAACCCUUAUUGCCUCUGAGAUGUGGCUGCCCAGGGGAUGGUGCAUGUGUCUGAGGUGGUGUCUGAAGCCUUUGUUUUGUUUACUAAGAGAAGUAUUGCCUUGAUGAAAUAAUGAUUUAAGUUAAAGAUGUUAAUGCUGUUCCUGCACUAAUAAUUUGUAUGUUAUCCUGCUAGUUGUGCUAAAGUAAAUAUAGAAACUGAACUUGGAAGAUAACAACAUGAACUGAAUUGUGACAUGCCUCUUCUCAUUUCAUGUUCUUCCACUCAACCACAAACUGAAAGAACCUGCAGCCAAUAGUGUUAUUCAGUGCUCCCUAUGCUCUUGGUGUAAACCUAGGGUGGUGUAGUUGGAUCGAUGGUACUGAACUGUCUAGUCACAGCCGCUCUCGGUCGGGGUGUGAGGCAGGAACUAUACAAUUAGGGGUGCUGAACUGAAAUUGGUAACCCUUAAUUUCGAUAGUCCCAAAUAGGUUUGUAGAUGCUCAGAUCAAUUAACUCAACAUUUCUACGAUCCACUAACUCUAAACUUAACCCUCUGCCAUAUAGGCCUACUCGGAUGUGUUUAUGGGCCUGUUUGAGGUGUUUUGCUCUAGUCCUCAAGUCAUGGUUAUAUAUUGCGAUUGGGCUAGUAAGUUUAUUUUGCAAGUUUAUUCUAUUCCCAACUAUUUUCUGUCAACUGUAAAUGCAACUUCUGGAUCUUGUCUUUAUCACCUGCCCUGUAAAAUAAAUCUCACCUGUUUUAGCACCUUAACCUCCGACUCUAAUAGGCUGCUGAAUUCCUAUUUCAUUAGAUUUUUAUUUGCAACAUACAAAUGAGCUAAUGUACUGUAGUGCCUGUUACUAGUCAAUAGAAUGUAAUGGCUGUUUCUGCUAGUGAGAGGUAGUCAGGCUAAUACAAACUCUUCAGUCUUCCUGAUGUCAGUCUUGGCUCCUUGAUGUAGGCAUAUGGCGAUAAUGAUGGGGGGGCUGUGCUUUUUUUACUGAUUGGUUCUGAUCCAGGAAACAAACAUUUGAGAACCAAUCCAAGCCUAGCCCAUUUAUGUAAGACUACUGCAUUUACAACAGGCACCUGUCCAGACCAGUGUCACAGCUCUCUCUCGCUGUGUACCAUGCGAGUCGUGUCAGCCAGGCUAACUGAGGGACAUAAUACACUCCUAUGGAAGCAGGAAUAGAGUUGGACAUAAGUCUAACUCUAUUAAGUAGAUAAUAGGAAGUAGUCAAAUUAUCUUUCGUGCUUUGGUCCUUGACACACAUUGUGCAUAGGUAAGACAUCUAACGGCAUCAGUCGCUUAACACUGAGUUAUUUCUAAUGCAUGCCCAUGGGGAACAACCACGUCUGUAGGCCUAAGCACUAAUAGAUAUUUAAACACAUGCCACUUCAAUUAUAUGAAGAUCUAGUCAGAGGAUAAACAUGUAUACUUUUAAGAUGCCAUCAGUGGCCUGUUUUACCUAACCACCUCAUUAACAAAUGGAUCGCUCCUAGACAAUGUCUUGCUAUAUAAAGCAGGCAUCGAGGCAUUCAGUUACUGUUCGAUUGAACGGUAGAAUGGCCAAAACGACUGACCUAAGAGACUUUGAGCGUGUUAUGAUUGUUGGUUCCAGGUGUGCCGGAUCCAGUAUCUCAAACAGCUGCCCUCCUGGGCUUUUCACACGACUGUCUAAGGUUUAUCGCAAAUGGUGCGACAAACAAAAAAUCAUCCAGUCAGCGGCAGUCCUAUAGGCAAAAACAGCUUGUUGAUGAGCGGUCGAAGGAGAAUAGCAAGAAUCGUGCAAGCGAACAGGCGGGUCGCAGACAAAUAACCGCGCGGAACGGGUCUCAUUCUGGUGACAU